AUGGACCAGUUCCACGACGGGCAGCACGUGCGGCUGCGGAACCGUCGGCGCGGCCGGUACGUCCGCGCCGCCGCCGACGGGGUGAGAGUCACCCUCAGCCGGCGCCGCGCGUCGCUGAACGUCGCGUGGACGGUGCACGUCUACCACAGCGCCGACGGCGACGGCCCGUACCUGCUCCUCCACAGCGCCGCCUACGGCCGCUACCUCGCCGCCACGGACAUGCCGCUGCCGGGCGGGCACGGCCGCUUCCGCGUCGAGCAGCGCAGAUACGACCAGCCGGAGCUGAGGCCCAUCAUGUGGCAGGCCAUCGGGGCCGGCGGCGGGGGCAGGGUCAUGCUCCGCAACGUCGGUGGCCUCCACCUCAGCGUCCGCGUCCGCGGCAGCCGCACCAUGUUCUACUGGGCCGUGGAGCCCAUCCCCGCCAGAGAGGCCGCGCCUCGCCUUCCACCGCCGCUUUCGUUCGGGCAGGAGGAGCCGAGGGCGGAGCGGCGGAUCCGGGUCGUGCAAGCCACCGCCGAGGGGCUCUACGCCGACGAAGGCUGGUCCUAUUUCCAGUUCUUUGGGAGGUGCGUGAACCACCUGAGGAACGCUCUGGCCAGGCACCUCAACCUGCCGCGGAGCCCCGCCUUCGUCAUGUGUGUGCGAGCGGGCCGCCACGGGAGGCUCACCCCACUCGUCGUCGACCUGCCCCACGGCGGCUCCGGCGAGACCCUCGAGGUCGUCGUCAUGCUGUCCGGGACCCCUGCCUGUGAUGCGCUGCGGCACCCGGACAUCGACGCAGAGUAG
rnacentral:rRNA from 1 species